UGUGUAAUGAAAAUAGUUGAAGUCAACCAAACUCCCCAUCUAUGCACUUUCGCCGACAGAGACAUUGCAAUUGGCGAGGAACUCCGAUAUGAUUAUGGAGUACCAACACUUCCAUGGAGAAAGGCAACACAAUGACUACUAGAUCUACGGACAGCCAGGAACCAGGACAAACAACAUCCAUAAACACGGAAGAAGUCAAUGAGACGAAAUGUACGGAACAAAAAAGGGCAACACAAUGACUACUAUAUCUACGGACAGCCAGGAACCAGGACAAACAACAUCCGUAACCACGGAAGAAGUCGAUGAGACGGUUUGUAAUAUUUCACUAUGUCGAAGCUACUAAGG